CGCUGGCGGCGUGCCUAAUACAUGCAAGUCGAGCGCGGGAAGCGGACAAUCACCCUUCGGGGUGUGCGUCCGUGGAACGAGCGGCGGAUGGGUGAGUAUCACGUGGGCAACCUGCCUGUAAGAUUGGGAUAACUCGCGGAAACGUGAGCUAAUACCGAAUGAAGUCUUUCACCGCCUGGUGAAAGGAUGAAAGAUGGCUCUUGAGCUAUCACUUACAGAUGGGCCCGCGGCGCAUUAGCUAGGUUGGUGGGGUAAAGGCCUACCAAGGCGACGAUGCGUAGCCGACCUGAGAGGGUGAUCGGCCACACUGGGACUGAGACACGGCCCAGACUCCUACGGGAGGCAGCAGUAGGGAAUCUUCCGCAAUGGACGAAAGUCUGACGGAGCAACGCCGCGUGAGUGAUGAAGGUCUUCGGAUCGUAAAACUCUGUUGUCGGGGAAGAACAAGUUGUGUUCUAACAGGACAUGACCUUGACGGUACCUGACCAGAAAGCCCCGGCUAACUACGUGCCAGCCGCCGC
rnacentral:rRNA from 1 species